rnacentral:lncRNA from 1 species
UCUAAAAUCAAGUUUGUGUUUUUUCACAAAGAAAACGUAAGCAGUAACUACCCUUAGUUCCUUAUCACAGCCUAUGCCAAUAUGCCAUCAUAAUUUACCCAUAAGAUUCAAUAUGUAUUAACAAGACGCCGGGGUAUUCGUUCAGCCAUAUUAUUAUUCUAUUGUGGUGUGCAACAGUGCAAGGACAGUAGAAGUAGAACUAAUGUAUGAUGCACAUGAGAAGUCAUUAAGAAGUUGUUGAAUUCAC